AGGCCGCGUGGCUGAUUCACAUCCCAGGUGGGACGGAGCAGGAUGUGUAAGAUUUCAUUACGCUACUCAAAACGGCAUGCAACUUAACACUUACAAAAUAUUUAUUUCUGGAAUUUUCCAUUUAAUAUUUUCAGACUGCAGUUGACAGCAGAUAACUGAAAGCUCGGAAAGCGAAACCGUGGAUAAGCAGGGGAACUGUGGCAUCCCAUUUAAAAUUGCUUCUGAAGAGAAGCAUGAGGUUACAUCUGUAAUCUCCCUGCAGCAGAGUCAACUGCAUAAGAAACCAAAAGACACACCUGCUCCAUGCCAGCCUAAGCCACCACAUAAAAAGUCAGACCAUCUGCUGGAAGAACCACAUGGAGAGGCCCUGAGUCAACAUGGAGAGGAAGAAGGACUUGACUGAAUCCAGCCUUCCAGCUGUCCCUACCAAGGUGCCAGGCAUGAGAAUGAAGCUGUCUUGAACUCUGAAGACCAGCUUAGCCACCAGAUGCCAAACACUGAGCAGGCUUUGUUCUCCACCCACAAACCAGAGGCUGUCUCAGCAGGAAGGAGUUGGAGUUGGAGAAAAAGGAGAAUUAAGAAUCUAUCUGGCGAUGUGGAUUAAAUAAACAACAAAUUGGCAGAUUGUUUUUAAAAGGUAACAUCCACUAUUGGCAAACAGACAUUUCUGAUACACUGCUUGUGGGAGGGUGAAUUGGUAUGACCUUUCUACAGGGCAAUCUGCAAUAGUAAUAAAAGGCUUAGGCCGGGC
rnacentral:lncRNA from 10 species